UGAGGAAUUUUGCGCAAUGGGCGAAAGCCUGACGCAGCGACGCCGCGUGAACGAUGAAGUCCUUCGGGAUGUAAAGUUCUGUCAGCAGGGAAAAUAAUGAUGGUACCUGCAGAGGAAGGCCCGGCAAACUAUGUGCCAGCAGCCGCGGUAAUACAUAGGGGCCAAGCGUUGUCCGGAAUUACUGGGCGUAAAGGGCGCGUAGGUGGCAAGCCAAGUUAGAAUUUAAAGCCAGAAGCUUAACUUCUGUUCGAUUCUAAUACUAGCUUGCUUGAGGUUGGGAGAGGAAAGCGGAAUUAACAGUGUAGCGGUGAAAUGCGUAGAUAUUGUUAAGAACACCCGUGGCGAAGGCGGCUUUCUGGACCAAACCUGACACUGAGGCGCGAAAGCGUGGGGAGCAAACAGG
rnacentral:rRNA from 1 species